GAUCGUUUGAGUACAGAAAGCAGAAACAUGGUUAUUUGACUUUAUUGUCCUGUCAUAAGAGUCUAUGAUAGACUCUCUGAAGCGAUGCAGAUGACCAUCGUCUGUAUUUCUUAAGAGAAUGAUUGGAAGAUUGUCAACAUCAACCUGGUAGUCUCAGUUUCUUAAGCAAGUUCUCGUUGAAAAUGGGCUCAAUUUUUGUUCAAGCUUUUAUCAUUGAUAGUCUACAUACAUAAGGUUUAAAUAAAUUUCUUGUCUUUAUA
rnacentral:lncRNA from 1 species